UUAUCCUCCACUAAUGGAUCAUGAGCAGCAAGAGUGCAGAGAUGAAAGAAAAAGUUAUUUCCUAUUUCAAGUAAAUUUUAUGAAUUGGCUAACCCUUAGUAAACCAAAGAUGGGAAAUCUGACUCUUUGUCAUAACCCACAUUGAUCAGCACUGUUGUAACCAUAUGUAUUUAGCUAUUUUUAUCUAACACCUGGCAGCAACUUUUGUAUCACUACUGAAACCAUCAAUGGAACUAUUAAGAAGGAGGACGCAUUUAAUAACCCCUGCAGUUCUCAUCGCAGCAGGGCUAAGCCUAACAGGGAUGUUCUUACCAUCAGCACUGAAUUUCAGUGCUUUUUAUUACAUUGGCCGUGUUUCAUUAGAAUUCAGCCUUCUUCAGGCUUCUUACAAAACAUAUACUUUGUACUUUGCAGACUCUGUUGGCUGUCAGGGGCGAACUUGUGUGGCCAGAAGACCAAAUGACAGUGUUCACAGAAGAGAGGGAAAAGUCAAUUUAACUUUAAAAUAUAAGCACUUACUGAGGCUAGAGAUGAAAUAAUGGAGGCAGGCUCGUCUGCCUAGUGUGACAGUGGGAUCUGAAAGCAGAAUAAGACAGAGAGGAAAAACAGGGUAAGCAGCUGGAGUGAAAUGCCAUGUUUGUUAGGCAGGAAAUCAAUAAUCUUUGAUGGUCAAGUCUUAUAUAAACCUUUAUUCUGGGCCUGCUAUGUUUGGAAAUUACAACAAAAGAAACAAAAGCUAGUUACUUGGAAAAAUCCAACCUCAGGUUGUUUACUAAGCUGAAGGAGUGCCUGGAAUCGCUCUUCUGUAGAGGAAAAACAAGUGAAAAGGAUUUUGCUGCUGAAGGCUGAAUAUGUACUCCUCUGGGAACAGAAAACACAUGGAUUUGAUCACACCUCUUUCUCCUGCUUCCAGAUAUCCGUGCUUGCCUAAAGAACUGCACUCUCUCUGGGAUAGCUCAGAAAACCAACAUGGUCAUUAACUUUUCCAAAGAUAGCAGUGGAGAAGCAGCAGCUGAGGCAAUGCAGUGACUCAAUAUGUGACCCUCUGGAGUCCCUGGUGCAUCUUAGAAGGUCAUUUCAGGAGAUACAUUCUGGUGGGACCAGUGGGAAGUGGACCCUAGGGAGCAGCUGGACUGGAGGAUGAUGUGUUCCAACCUGAGUGCUCAGAUUGCAGCACUGCCAAUCCCAGAUGUUCACAAACCAUGAGGAAAGUCUGAGAAAGGCCUGAGAUUGAGUAAAAACUUAAAAUUGAGAUUUUAAAAAGAAAAUAAGUUUAGGGUGUGGUUUAUUGCCUUCAGGUUUCUUAGCCUUUAGGGUGCACUUGAGUCAUGUUUUUAAGUUUCUCUUUGCUACCAUGAGGUCUAGGAAACUUACUUAAAACCGUAAGCCAAGAUUCUCACCUAAUCAUUUGGUUGUGGGAGCUGAAAAAUACAAAAUUAUGAGAGGUGCAGCACUGACUGGUGGGGCCAGGCAUAUGGCAAGUAGUUGGGAAAGGCCUCUUGGAGAGGGAGGGCAGGCAGCCUGUGAAUGGGGUGCAGCAAAGAGGCCCGUGAAGUCAGUGGGGAGAAGUGUUGAGAGGCAGGUAGGAGAAGAGGAUCAGCACUUGAAGAAAGUGAAGUUGGACAUAUCAGGAGAUGGGAAAAUGUUUCCUGCAAUAAUCUCCAUCAGUUAACCCCUACGAGUCCUUGGUGGAACAAAAUGAACUGUUUAUCAGGUAAAUUUGCUUUCCCACAGAGACUGAGAUGAUUUCAUUGAUUUACAGAGAGAACAUGCCAAAAUAAGUAUGUCAGCAGGCCAAGGAAAGUGAUACUGCCCCUCUACUUAGCCCUUGUGAGGCUGCAUCUGGAGUGCUAUGUCCGGUUCUGGGCUCCUCAGUACGAGAUACAUGGAACCCCUGGAGUGAGUCCAACAGAGGGCUAAAAAAAUGAUUAAGGGACUGGAGCAUCACUCUUAUGAGGAAAGGCUGAGGAAUUUGGGCCCAUUCAGCCUCGGGAAGAGAUGACUGAGAGGGGACCUCUUCGAUGUUUAUACAUAUCUGAAGGGAAUGUGCCAAGAGGAUGAAGCCAGGCUCUUCUCAGUGAUGCCAAGUAAUAGGACAAGAGGCAAUGGGCAGAAAGUUCCACCUGAAUAUGAGGAAGAACUUCUUUACUGUGCGGGUGACCACACACUGGAACAGAUUGCCCAGAGAGGUUGUGGAGUCUCCCUCACUGGAGAUAUUCAAGAACUGUCUGUACACAAACCUGUGCAAUGUGCUCUAGGCUGACCCUGCUUGAGCAGAGAGGUUCAACUAGAUGACCCACAGUGGUCCCUUCCAACCUUACCCAUUCUGGGAUUCUGUGGUUCUGUAAUUGUUACUCAGAGAAGUGGAUGCUUGGUCUGAGCAGAGUGAACUGAGGAUGAUGAGUGGCAAGUCCAUAUUAAAACUAACUGAUAAAAAGAUAAUCUGUGGCAGCCCUAACUUAGCUUUUCAGCAUAGUAGUAGAGUAAAAAUCUUUAGAGCCUGCAGAAAGCCAAAGAGCAACUGGACUGAAAAGAUGAAACAGUCUUAAGGCCAUGAACAUUUACAUUUUACAAUUUCCAUCUUUAAAAAAUCAAGUUGAGACAGGAGUGGAUGAGAGUGUUGAGAGCUGUGAAAGGCCUUAGCUUUGAAUUAGCCUUCCUUUAGCUGUGAGGUGCUUCCAAAUGCAGUGCAGAAGUGUAGAUAAGACUGCCUCACAGUUCAAACACAGGGUGAAGAUGUAAAAAUUGCAGUUGUCCUCUCAACUCAGCCACCAACGGUGGGAUGAGUGUGCUCAGUGUGAUCGAUUUUAUAGGUGAAUGUAGGGAGCUAUGUAUGCAGACCUUAAUAAUUCCUCCAUGUCCUUCACUGUGAAGCAAAGAAGUGGCACAAAACACUCUAUGAUGUGUUUUACUCACAGUUCAGCAAUGCCUCCCCUCAGAAAACCCUCAGCUGAAUGCAGAAAUUGCAUUGCAUUUCUGCAUGCUCUGUGGAGUCUUUGCCCAACCCAGUGUUAGGCAUGUAACUUAAAGGACUGGUCUCUGUCAAGCAGAAAAAAUAAAUUCUUGCAGGUGGUGAAUGAGAGCGCAGCCUUCUGUGUCCUCUUGCAGUGCUGGUGGCACAAGUGCACUAGCUGGACCCUCAGCUGCACACAUCUGUGUGUGCAAAUACCCCUUUUCUCUGUCCAGAAGCAUCCUUGGAUGACUCACGAUAUUCAAGGAUGGAAGUUCUGUUCUGUCUUAGACAUUAGAAAAAAAUUGCUCUCAAGAAAAAAAAAAGGAAAAAAAAAGAAAAAAGGAAAUAAAGUUUUGUUCAUUUUCUUUUUGCCACACAAAUACAUACUCCAUUGGAUGAUGGUUUUAUUAUGCUUACUGCUGUACUGAGCAAACUCCUUGCUGCACGGAGAGCUAGUUGGUGUUUUGGGUUGACUAGCUCAUACUUAACCAUGUCUUCAAAGACUCUGCAGUGAUGCUGCAUACUGAAAAAAAAAUGUGCAGAUUAGGCACUUUUGAAAAUCCCAUUUGAAGGAUCAGUUCAAUACAUUUUGUUAAGAAACUUGAACUAAAAUAGAACCAUGAAAUCAAAGCCUAGCUAGCAUUAAUAUUCCACGAAAGUAAAAGUGGAGCAUUACGGACAUCAAAUCAAAAUCAAGUCAACAAAUUGACUGCAGCACUGGAUCAAAAUGAAACCAAAUUGCCAACUUGAUGAAAACCCACAGUGUUUAUGAUCUCUGAGGAUCUAUGAAAGCACGUCUGUUUAGCUAGAAAUUUCAAAAAGCACAUUUUUCCAGAGCCAGACAGAAACAUAGGACCGAGCUGGGUUAUUCAAUGGUGAAACCACUAUUUCAGAGCCAAUUAUCUAGCUUCCUUCUUUGGAUCCUCUUCCUCAGUAAUGAGUAAAUCCUAAUCCCACCUCCUGAGUGCCAUCAUAUAUAGCACAGUCUCAGAAAAGAACACUCCUGAUAAGCAGAAGUUUGUCAGAAGUUAUUUACCAGAAAUUGCAGAUGACAAUUUCAGGUCUUUUAGGAUCAAACAGAGGCCCCAGAAAAUAUAUUAAAGAGCAAUUUUAUGCAGUGUUAUAUAUAACUUCUAAGCCUCAGGAACUUUCCUUCCCUCCUCUUCUCUUUUUCAGAGACAUUUGUGCACAUCUGGAAAUAUAAAGCUACAUUUAAACACUAGGAAACUGAAUAGUAUAAAAAGACCUGGGUGUCUACUACCUAACAAAAUAGGAAAAGAAAAAAAGAUGACUAAGACAAAGGAAUGUAACUGCUUCUUUAACUCUCUUACUCCUUCACACUUGCAGAAGAGAGAACUGUGCAGAACAACAGAGAGAGGGUGACUGGAGAAUUGAAAGGAGAAUUUUUGCCUAAACAAGAGUAGCUGAAGGAAAAAACCUUUGGAUCAGUAAUUUUUAUUCUGAUAAAGUUCCUUCAGAGUUAGUAAAUUGUGAGGUUUACUUUUUUGACUGAUGUUUUAAGUGAAAUCUCAGGAUUAAAAUCAGUCAGUAAAAGAGAAACCUGCCUUUGUGAAUCUUUAAUUAUGAAAAAUUAUAUCAACCUUUUCACUUCCACAUUGAAACUCUUAAACUGAGAUUACAAUUGAAUGUAAUUUAGAAUGCACUGUAAUAUUAAGAAAUCUUAAAUAUAAAAUCAUCUCCAAAUCAGAAAUCCCACAAUCUGGAAUUGUUUUGAGGGCAAAAGGACAAAAAUCUGAGAUUUUUGGAAGUCUAGGAUUGCAUCCAACUCCAGAACUCCAUUUUUUUAUUUUAAUAAAACUUGGAAAAUAGAGUUGAUCUCUUGCUUUGUAGAUAUCAGCUGAAAAAAAACCCACCAAAAACCAAAUCACAAAACUGUGCCCAGAUUGAGUCUGCAAGUUAGAAACAUGAUGCCGUUAUUUCUCCUGCACAAAGUUUUGCAUAGGAAAUUGCAGUUAUGUAUAAAAUACUAGUUCAAAAAUAGUUUUCCAUAAGGGAACAUACCUAAGCAUAAAUACAGAGGAGCGAGUUAAAUUGGAACUUUCAGGUCAGCUUUUUUGGACUGAAUUUCCUCUCUGGUAGAGAGAGGCAGCUAAAAUGAAUGAUAAAGUGACUGGGUAAAAGCUCUUUUCCCAGUCUGUGAUCCCAGCUAUCACAAACUAAAAAAAUGUGUUCAUAUUUAUAAGCCAUCAGAGCUUUUCCCUAAAAAUACCAUUAUAUUAGGUAUUUUUUAAUAAACACAUAAUCACUAUAAUUGGUACCUCUAAUGAAUGCAAAGGCUAAUUCCAGUGCUUUCUUCCUAUCAGAAAAUAUUUCCUGCCAUUUUAAUAGCAGAAUUCAGUGGGCAUUUACAUCAGGUAAUGCUAGUGACAAAUUCCACUUUGGCUGCAGUGAGGACUGGGACCAAUUUUUCUUAUGUUUAAGACUUGUCUUUUUAUCCCAUUCAGUGUAAGGAGCAGAGAUGAGCUUUCUUUUUGAUGAGAGAGUUGUGAGUCUCUCCCAGAAUGAAACCUCGGGUCCGGAUGUCUCUUGCCUCCCUGUACCCCCACCUGUGUAGCUAUUGCUCACCUCCUGCUUCUGAUCAGAAAAAUGGUGCUUUCAGUAGCUAUUCCAGUUUUAAAAUAUUUCCUUAAGAGAGUUCUAUACUACAGAUUCACAAACACUUCUUUAGUUUGGAAGAAGGAUGUCAAUCAGCAGCACUACCACUUUAUGAACUGCUCCUAUUUCCAAAAUCACCUCUGUUGUUACAGUCCAACAAACUACUGAAAGAGUUCAAAAAAUUGCUGGCUGCAGGGGCUAAUUCAGCUCCUUUUUGAGGUGCUUCGUUCUUUUCUCCUGCCAUGAUUACUGUCCUAUUUUUUUCCCUGGUGGUUGUUAAAUCACUAACUAAUUAUGUAUUAUCAAAGCUGCACAUAACAGUGGAGUUUGUCUCCUGUUUGAUGUAUAUAAAAACAAGCCGAGUGAGUGAGUCAGUCAGGGUACAGAUGGCUGUACCGCUCCACCUGGUGCCUGUGUUAGCACUUAUUCAUGCCUUCCCUUUGUUCUUCUGGGCUCCUUUUACUUUUUACUGCACAGCUAGAAUAGGUACUGACUGCUGCAUUAUGUGUCCUUUAAUGUUUUUUUUAUUAUUACUAUGGGAGAACAAAAACUCUCAUAAAAGGUAUGUUUUCUUUCUGGGAAAAUUUCUCAGUAAUGCAGUAGCUCCUGUGUUGGGGAACUUGAACCUUAAAGGACGUGACAAAGAUUACUAGAUGCCCACUUAGUUUCUCUGGUAGUUACUCAGGCAGUUAUUUGGAAGAAAUGAAAAAUCCCUGAGCCUUCUUCCAUGCUGAUACGAGUUCAACAGUCUGCAAAUAUCAACAUAGAAAUUUACAUGCUUAUCCCUUGAGAAGUCUGUGCACAUAUGGUAUUCUUUUUCAAAUUAUUUAAUUAAAGCUCAAAAAACAUGUGAAAUCUGGAAUGCUCACUUCCAAGAACACCUACCACAUUAAAUCAAACUCCCCAGGUUGACACAUGGAGGCGUUUUCUAAAACGUAAUUUAAUUUUCCCUUCUGUAUUCUUCACCCCCCUCCCUCCCCCAAUUCCCUCACCUUAAGGAACAGUGAGAGACCUACAUUCUCUUUGGCAAUUUACUCAAUUGCACAAGUGAACCUGGUCACAGAUGAACUCAUGCAAUGCUGAAAUGUGGAGGUUGCUACCUUACAUGUUAACUCUUUUUUUUUAUAUAGAGGUAUAAGUAAGGGUUUUUAUUGUCUGCAGAGUCUUGUUCAUGUUGAUCAGUAGAAAUUCUAAACUUUCAGGUCUCAAAUGUAACCCAACAACAUUCCUUCUUCUAUAUUUGUUUAAUACUUGGCAGUUGAGGAAAUAUAUAGCAAGGAAAGACGGAGAUUACCCACUUUGAGGUAGGAGGUUGGGAAUUACCUCCUAUAUUCAGCUGCCACUGCUUGGAAAGAGAUACUGUGCUUGGCAAAGCACACUGCCUGUAAUUAUUAAGCCUGUCAGUUUGAUUUCUGCUUUGAACAAAUUGGAAAAAAAGGACGAAUUCAAAGGAAAAGCUCCAACCCUUGCUAAAGAGAUCAUAACUAUUUUUCAGACCAUAUGCUGUUUCAUUUGGCAAGAUGUUUACCUUGGUACCUGAGAACAUGAGGAACAAAUCCUGGAUUUUUGCUAGACUGUACUCAAAGGAGCAUACAAUGGCAUGUGGAGCCAUUUCUGGCUAUGAACACCCACAGCCUUCUGCGAGAAGGUUGUUCAACCAAACUGCUGGUCAGAGAGGAUCAAUAUUUUUCAGCUCCAGCAUUUAUAACUUGGUGUUUUUUAAUAGAGAAAAAAUGGCACUGUGUAGCCAUAUCUGCUCUCUUGCCAAAGCUGCUCCAAAUGUUCAUAUGGACAUGCCCAACCUACCUUGAAACAGCCCACAGCCAAGGCCUUGCCAAGCAUUUGACUUCCCAAGCAGUUGCAGAACUUGCUGCCGUGGCUGCCUGCCUUGCAGUGCUGGAAAUAGGUACCUGAAAAUUGCCUCCUUUAUGGUACACGUAAGCUUUUGUCACGAGCAGUAACAAAAGCUCUAACUACAUAUGUAGGGUUAUACUGAUAAGUACAAGAAAAAGCGAAUUAUUGAAAACUCCCAUUUCCACAGGAUGAUUCAUUUGCCCCGUCUUGCUUCCCUCCCAAAGUGUCCCUCUGGAAAACAUGCAUCUAAUUGUAGCUUGUCAAAUUACCGGGGAAAUUCAGAUAGCUUAGGCAAUCAGCAGAAGUUUCAUUUUGAUUACUUCUUGUGCAAGUUUUGUACAGAAAUGAUGCUCUGAAGACUCAUUUUAGGGAGAACACUGUUAUAUUGAUGUAGGUGGCAAUUUCCCUCUGAUACAGUAACUUUUGGGUUCAGUGAGGACAGCACCAUGUCUGCCUCUUCCAGCAGUGAAAGCUGAUGCCUCUUAAAAUGUAGGACCCUUAAAACAGGAAUGUGAGAACUAAAUGAUCACCUUGAGUUAUAGACAGUGCUAAUUGCAGAAGUGAAGGAAUCAUUAUAAGCUGUAAAUAGAGGUUUCUGCUACUUCUUUCUAUGUGCUGUAGCCAGAUGGACAUAUUUGGUUGGGGGACCCGGCAGUGAAAAAUGCUGAGAGUGAAAAACAUCUGAAAGUGACAGCCCAGGGAAAAAUAGGCUUGAACUUGCAUGGAUAGUUCUUGGAUUAUUUUCAUGUGAAUGGCAGAAUGAAAUAAUUUGUGAUUUUAGAUAAUGUAUGAAGCAAUUACCAGAAAUAUGGUAUUUUGGCCCAAGGAAAUUCAUGUUCAGGCAAUAAUUUCAAAUGUUUUAAAUUCUACACUUCUGUACUAGGUGACACAAAAUCCUUUUUUGGUAAUGGUUAUAUCACUAAGUCUGUCCUUGCAUGCCCUUCCUUGUUAGCUGUUCAAGCAUUAAAAAGAUUUAUUAACCUUGUCUUAGUUUUAGUAGCCUCUUUUUUCUGCUUUUUUAGUUUGCAGUAUUUGACAUGCAAAAUGUUAUGUUUUUUUAAACCAAGUGCUCCAAGUAGGAAACUACUGCAUUGAAGAAUAAAUAGGCAACUUUAGCUCUGCUCACUUGGACCUGGGAAAGGCUGUACAGUUACAGAAAUCCCAGCAUUUAUAUUCCUGGUUAGCCUAGUCCAGCCAGUAACAGUGAAGAUGACAAUAUUAGAUAUUCCAGAGGUAUAAGCAAGAUAUUUCAAGAUGAACAGUACAGAACUAAGUAUAAUGUGUUAAUUUGUAUUUUUAAUUACUUUUAAACCUAUCCAAUGACUUUAUGAAAAUUUGGCAAUCUAAAUCAAUAAAUAUACUUUCACCAAAUCUUGAAAGAAGUUCUAGUCCACAGGACUAGUAUCUUUUUUCCUUUAUUGUAUGGAAAAAGGAUGUAUUGAAUUACUUUCUCUCAAAGUCCUUUAUAUACCGACUGCAUAUCAUCUCUUAUUCAUUUUUCUCUUUAAAUCUUUACAGUAUGUCUUCUUAUGGAUAAUAUUCCAGUUUCUUUAUCCUUUCAAAGUAUAUUUUCAGAAUCCUUCCUAUAUGUACUUUUUUUUUUUUAAUAACAUAAGAAAUACAGCAUUCCAUAUAGAACACUGCAAAGAAAUAGAAUAAAAGUGUCAGUAUUUUUGCUCAUUCUUUGUGCUCUCUGCAUUUUGCAUCCUUUUGUAUCUUCUGGGUUACACAGGUGACUCCCAGAUCUUUUUUUUUCUGCAUAGUGCUACUUAAUUUAUGUGCAUAAUAUUUGAGGAAACUAGAAUCAAAAUGAAUCCAGAGCAGAAAUUGAAAUCCAAGGAAGAAAUAAACUGAGCUGCAAUAAAUGACCAGAGAAAAUAAAUAAGAGAUCAGCCAACAAACCCCAGGUCUCUCUAUUAUUUAUACCUCCUGGAAUAAAAAUAAAUUGGCUUUGAGGAGACAUGCAUCAAAUUUUUUAGCUGGUGUAAAUCUUUGAGGCAUUACGUCCAUUGGGAGUGGGAGACCUGUGCAGUGACGUGUGCUGGAAGCAGCCAUUUCAUCAGUUUUUCCAUCUGGGCACAGUCUGAAGAAUGACACACCUGCAAAAGAGAAGCAAGCUGCAGUUUCCCAGUUUGCAGGGAGAGGAAAGUCAGGGGUGGCCUUCACCUCUGCCAGUUUUUUACAUGACUGGACGUGGCAGUGGCCUCUAGCAGCUGGUGGCAAGAUGCCAAUGGGGAGCCUGGCUGGCUUGGGCUCUCCUUCUCUACCACCAUAGGCAGCUUUGGCACACACCCAAAUGUAGCUUAGGUACAAUUGCAAUGUUUACUCUUGAGGGGAGUUAGUGACAAUUCCCAUGCCUGAUGUUGUGGAGGUCUAAUCAGUGCCUGAGAAGAGCACAGCCGUGGGCUGUGUCCCCCCCACCAUCAUACCAGUGGUCACGGCUGUGGGCUCCUUACCUUGGGGCAUGGGUGGACCAUGCCCACAGCUGUGGUCCAGUGCAUUUUGGUAUAUGUCUGCAUCAUAGGGCACUCCUGAGGUACCUACCCAGAGAGUGAGCCUGUAAGUGUAACCUUUCAACAGUGUCUGAAGUGCUUCCCUCCCUGGAAGUGUGGGCAACCCCACACCCUGUGGUGUGCCUGGUAGUCCCUACUUUGCACAGUUCUGUGUUAAUGAACUGUGGAGCACACUGUUAUCUGGACUGCUCCUGCAGCUGGCCUUCAUCAGGAAAGAAACUUGGUUUGGGGUAAAAAAUGUGAGGCCACAUUUCAGUCUCAGCAUCAGAGAAAUGCAGUGAGCUCACAGGCAGGAAACACAGGGGGAACUUCUGCAGAGCAUCCCACAGGGCCUGGUGCUUUCCUGCUGCCUUGGGAGAGCAUGUCAGGGUGUUGGGGGAGCUCCAGCAGUGCCAGGCCUUCUUUCCCUGUACUGUUUGGGACAAGGCUGGCCCUGUGGCGUGUAGGAGAAGCUCUGGUCCCUGAGGCAGGUAGUUCCCUUCAGCCAAGAGGGGUAGGUACAACACACUCCUGCUGUCCCUGCAGCACAUAGGAAAAGAAAUUUGGGAAAUCACACAUAGCAUCUUAGCAUAUCCUGAGCUGGAAGGGACUCACAAGGAUCAUCGAGUCCAACUCCUGGCCCUGAACAGAACAACCCCAAGAAUCACACCACAUGUCUGAGAACAUUGUCUGAGCACUUCUAGAACUCUGACAGGUUUGGUGCCAUGACCACUUCCCUGGGGAGCCUGUUUCAGUGCCCAGCCAUCCUCUGGGUGAAGAACCUCUUCCUAAUAUCUAACUUAAAUCUCCCCUGACACAGCUUCAUGCCAUUCCCUUGGGUCCUAUCAUUGGUCACCAGAGAGAAGAAAUCAGUACCUGUCCCACCAUUUCCCCUUGUGAGCAAGCUGUAGAACAUGAUGAGGUCUCCCCCCAGUCUCCUCUUCUCUAGACUGGAUAAACCAAGCAACCUCAGCCACUCCUUAUACACCUUCUCCUCUAGGCUCUUCACCAUCUUUGUUGCCUUCCUUUGGAUGCUCUCUAAUAGUUUAAUAUCCUUCUUAUAUUGUGGCGCCAAAACUGCGCACAAUAUUCAAGGUGAGGCCAAGAGCAGAGCAGGUGGCGAUGCUUUGCCUGAUGGUCCCCAGGACAAAGUUGGCCCUCCUGGCUGCCAGGGCACUGCUGACUCAUAUUCAACUUGCCAUUGACCAGAAUUCUCAGGUCCCUUUCUGUGGGGUUGCUCUCCAACCUCUUGUUUCCUGCUCCGUACAUACAUCCAGGGUUGUCCUGUAAGACACUAAGGAUGCUCCUCUUACCCCAAAUGGGACACUAAUAUGCACUAUAACAAUACAUGCUAUAAUACAGCUGUCUGCCUCAAGUGUAUGUGGCAUGCCUGGGUAGAUGUUAUUUUGUUAUGACCUGACAUCCUCUGUAAAUUUCUUUGGAUAAGAGAAUCGUGGAGCCAUUCUCCCAGCUACGGACGAGAAAAGAGCUUAAAAUAUGUGCAAAUAUUGCUUAAGUGCUGUAGAUGUGUUAAUGUGCUUUUUUUACCUCCCAGGAGUGAUGUAGCAUGACAGGGUGGGGAUGUGAUCAGUCACUGGUGUUACUGUUAGCUUUACAAUAAUGAUCUUUUGAUAUUUGCUCUUAAACUCUGUCACAUAUUUUUGUUCCAUCUUCAACAGGUGUUAAUCUCUUUGCAGAAACAGCUGAGCACUUAACUUUGCUCAGCUGUUUCUAAUCAGAGCCAAAGGCAGUCCUGAAGCAAUUGUAGUAUUUCUCUUUUUAAAUUGUCUAUGCAUAUUUAAAAGGAAAUACUGCACUUCUGUGAGCCCCGAAUAAAAGCGCAUCUUCCCCUGCCUCCAUAAUACCUGCCUAGAAUAAUGCAGAACCAGCUGGAGGCUGGUUGCUCAGUUUUGCUUUUUCAGUACACACUGAAACAUCCAGGGGAUAGACAAAAAAGAGAGGAAGAGCCAGCAAGUGAGCCUGCCCUUCAUUCUGAAUUACUGCAGGGACCCAGUGCUCUGCAAGGGGGAUGGAUGGGCAAAGUCCCUGCAGGAUAGGAUCAUCCACACAGUGGUGGUGGAGGCAUGCACAAAGCAGGCAGCAUCACUAGCUGUAAUAACUGGAGGUUAACAUACAGCAAAACAUCUCUAAUAUCCUUGAAAACUAGUUACCUGGAGAGCAAAGAAUAUAUUGCAUAUCUGCCACAGAAACACACUGCAAGCAGAAGCUUAUAUGAUGUCUGUGCUCUGCUGAGCUUGCAACUGACUUCAGGGGUGCCACUGUCUCCUCUCCCUGACUGAUGGGUUCAUCAAAGAGAAGAUCCCUGUGGGACCCUUCUGGAGUGGCCUUUUGGGAUUUGGUCACAAGACGAAUUUUUAUCAGGCUGUACCAAAUGUUUAUUGUCAGUAUAUUUUGAGUUUUGGCUCUCGGUGUAACUAACAACUAGUAUUUUUUGUAAGUCCCAUCAGACUUUCAGGUCCACCAUGGUUGAAAUUAACUGACUCACCAUACAAAAUCUGUGCAUUUGAGCACCAUGUUGUUGCAACAACAACACUGCCAGGCUCUACUAGAGGGUUAUUUGACUAUCUGUAAACAUCAAAUUGUUUUACAGAGGAAAUUCCAGAACAUAAAUCCAGGAAAUUCCCAGUAAAUAUCAAAUCUGGAAGAAAUCCAAACACAUAUUGAUAUUGAAGUUCACAUACCUGAGAAAUGUUAUUAAUUUAGUUUGCAAAGCAGAGCAUGCUGGUAAGUCAAUUAGGCAUUCACUUCCAUUAUCAGGAAGCAUCCCUAUGGAAAAAUACUUGGAGCAAGUUUACCUCACUGAAACAGUUUGUGGUUCUGUGGUAACCCAAAUCCUCAUUUCUGUCUCUCUCUCUGCAGCUGCUCUGUCCUUGCCAUCUGAAAUGCCUUCAUUGCUUUCCUUAAUUGUUUUAACCCAGAGCCAGUCUUGGUGGUUGCAGAGUCCUGGAGCUGUCCACAAGGAACUGGGAAGAAGGAGGAGGCAGUGACCAGGGUGCAGGAGGUCUUCUGGCACUGCUGGAUCACUGCCUGUCCUGAGGCUGAGGGGAAUUUCCCUGUUAUUCCCUCUUACCAGAUAUUAAGCAAAUAAGCAAGAAAUGACAAUGUGCCUCUCCAAUCAAGACUUUUUCAGCACUAUUAAAACUAAAGUUACUUCUCAUCAAGUGCCUGAAGAAACGUUGCUCACUGUAUACUGUGAGAAAGAGAAUUUUCCAAUUCCUAUUUCUGCUCAGAUGUUGUACUUGCAUAUGCUACACAAAGAAAUUAAAAUUGAAGAUGGAGAACACAUAGGAUUACUUUUCUACAAUAGGCAGACCACUGGACAAAUCAAUAUCUGAGUUUCUAUUUGCUUUUUCCUACUCCCUAGAUCAAAUAAAGCUAUUAAUUGGUGUUAUAUUCGUGGUGCUGUUGCCCUUUGCAAAAUAUACUCAUUAAAAAUGCUUCUUGGUUCAAA